CCAUCGAGCUGGCUUCAUCUCCACCAGGCGAUUCAAGAGGAGAUCUAGGGUUUCUCUUGGUGAUGCAAGAUCUGGCUUUCUCAAUGACACCAGAUCAACGAAUCUCUCUCUAUACGAUGCCCAAUCGACUGAGUUUGAAGGUGAUGAAGGGUUUGGAUCUGCCAAUUAGUGACGUAUGUGCAAGGGGGUGUUUGGUCUGCCAAUCGGUGAUGUUCGAACAAGAUUUCACAAGAUCUAAGACGCCUGGUGUGUAGUGUUAUAUCCGACGACUAGGGUUCAGGUGCUAGAAUUCUCAAGCUGAGCGGUGGCAAUAGAGACGAGUUCCCGGUUGUAGAUGGUGGUUGAGGUAGUUCCGACAAACUGAGGUUGUUGAAAGCUAUGAGCGAGCUUAUAGUAAUAUGGUUCGUGUUCGCCAAUUGUCUGAGUUAGAGGAGGCCCGUUCGUAUUGCCACCAACAAAGUAUGUGCCAAUAAACUAUGUUGAACAUACAUACAUGAGCAGUUCAGAGGUUCGGGAGAGUAGGAAGAUUGAGCCGAAGGGGCUUAUGGUUACUCGCCAAGAGUCCAAUCGCUGGUCAAAUACGUCUUGCAAGGUUUGGGUCUUAUCAGAAACCCGGGAAACAAGGCUACUGCUUCAGUUUCAAAAAGGUUUAAGCUACAGUUCAGAAACAAGAUUGCCCUGUCGGUCUACACUGGGAGCGUCUUUUAGGCGAGCAUGAAUCGUCCAUUGAAAUACCCUUUGUUGAUGCUCGGAGUGACCAGAUAGUGGAUAUCGGGCCUGAAUCUGUUGCAAAACUGAAAAUACUGGGAUUUUGAGUUGGUGACGGUAACGAUGACGGUAGUUGGGCAUGCAAACACUUUCAAGAAACCAUUAUGAGCGAACGGGAAGGGAAACAACGAAUUCUUCAAGGAAAUACUUGUUUGCAGCUAAACAAAGGCGUUUGUUAUGUUCGUAACAAGAUUUCUUUUACUCAUAGUGCGGAACAUACAAGAAAUAGUCUGUACAGACUGGUGGCAGUAGUUGUGGAUGCUGAUUUGAUGAAUGGAGUGGAAGUAGCAACGACGGAAGCAUUUGUCAUGAAGGAUCGGCGUUAUAUCUAUCACAAAAACAUGUGUGCCCGUCUUUAUCAGAUAAGGUGUGCUAUUUAAAGCAGAUCGGCUAUAAGGGUCCUUGCUAUACACGUCUGAAAGACACAGAUGUGUGCACUUUGAAGGAUUUGUUGAGACUACUCUACACGAAUCCAAAACGGCAUGAAGAGAUUCUUGAGCUAAAAGCCUCUUGCAAGUUUUGGGAUGAAAUUGUAAAAAGCGCACAAGCAUCAAAUGGAACAUUUUUGUACCUCGAUCCUAGAGACGAACAAAAAACCGGCGUUGUUCUUGAUGUUAAACUGCAAUUGAAGGUGUUGAUAGUAGAACCUCAUCGGUACAUCAGCCAGUGCCACAUUAGCAAUGUUUAUGGGAAUGAUUUCAAUAUUCAUAGGAAUUUCAAUGCUGGCACCUGAUGACUCGAAAGGUAGAUGGGGACAGAAGCUGUAUAGGAUGCGAUAUGGAAAUGAUUUCAAUAUUCAUAGGAAUUUCAUUGCUGGUACCUGAUGACUCGAAAGGUAUAUAUUUGCUCCAUCAUUAUAACUUCAGCUUGGGAUGACAAUAUGGCUAGGUUGGGUCUUGUUGUGUUGUGUUGGGUCGUGUCGGGUCGGGUCGGGUCGUGGCGUUAAACAACUGCAAACGCGGAAGCAAAUGGCUGCAUUUUUACACCCAUUUGCUGCUGCGUUUGCAGCCGUAAACGCGCCGUUAAACGGCUGCAAAAACGCAGCCGUUUGCAGCCGUUUAACGGUGCGUUUACGGCUGCAAAUGCAGCAGCAAGGUGUAAAAACGCAGUCGUUUGCUGCUGCGUUUGCAGCCGUAAGCGCACCAUUAAACGGCUGAAAAUGCGGCAGCAAAUGGCUUCGUUUUUACACCCGUUUGCUGCUUCAUUUGCAGCCGUAAACGCGCCGUUAAAUGGCUGCAAACGCGGCAGCAAACGGGUGCAAAAACGCAGUUGUUUGCAGCCGUUUAACGACGCGUUUACGGCUGCAAACGCAGCAGGAAACGGGUGUGAAAAGCGCAGCCGUUUGCAACCGUAAACGUGGCGUUAAACCGUUGCAAACGGGUGCAAAAACGCAGCCGUUUGCAGCCGUUUAACGGCUGCAAACGCAGCACCAAAUGGGUGUAAAAACGCAGCAAGAACGGGACCUAGCUGUCGACAAGACCAAAUUCACUAACGUCUUCGUUAAAAACCUCUCCGAAUCAACAACCGAUGGGGAUUUACAAAAAGCGUUAGUGAAUAUGAAACGAUCACCAGUGCGGUUGUGAUGAGGGACGCUGACGGUAACUCCAAAUGCUUUGGUUUGUUAACUUUGAGGGUAUCGAAGAUGCUGCUAAAGUUGUAGAAGGCCUUAACGGACAGAAGUUUGAUGAAAAAGAAUGUUUUGUCGGGAAAUCGCAAAAAAAAAAAAAAAAAUGAACGGGAACUGGAGUUGAAACAGAAGUUUGAGCAGAGUAUGAAGGAGGCGGUGGACAAAUCACAGCGGUUAAACUUGUAUGUAAAAAAAUUAGAUGAUACGGUGACUGACAGGGAGUACGUUGCGCCUUUCGGUACUAUAACUUCCUGCAAGGUCAUGAGAGAUCCUAACGAAACUAGCAAAGGUUCAGGUUUUGUUGCGUUUUGUUGAAUUAGAUUGUUUUAAACAUUUCUUGAUCUCAGAAUAUACAUAAUUUUGAAUAACUGAUUUACUAUUGUAGCUAAUGUAUAUGUUUCAUAGCUUCCUUCAAUAGAAGUUCAGAAGACUUCAAGGUUCAAAGUGAGAAGUAAGCAAGACAAGAGUAAAGUUUGAUAAUGAUGAUGAUAGUGUUAGCUGUUUGCUGCAGUCUCUUGUCUUGGAUUGAAAAAGAGACUAUUGUUGUAUUUUGAUGGGAGAAAUGAAUAAGUAAAACUGUUUUUAUUACCGAAUUUCCUUGUGAUGGUAUAGUGUUUAAAAUUUGUGGGAAUAUCAAGUUUAGUAUUAUCAAGUAUUAACCUUUCUUUGCUUUUGGUGCAA